rnacentral:rRNA from 1 species
CGAACGCUGGCGGCCGUGCCUAAUACAUGCAAGUCGAACGGUCUUUUCUAUGGAAGCUUGCUUCCACUGAGAAGAUAGUGGCGAACGGGUGAGUAACACGUGGGGUAAACCUGCCCGAUAAGAGGGGGGAUAACAUCCGGAAACGGGUGCUAAUACCGCAUAGUUUUCUUGAUCGCAUGAUCGGGAAAGGAAAGACGGCCUUUGUGCUGUCGCUUAUGGGAUGGACCCCGCGGCGUAUUAGUUAGUUGGUGAGGUAACGGCUCACCAAGACGAUGAUACGUAGCCGACCUGAGAGGGUGAUCGGCCACAUUGGGACUGAGACACGGCCCAAACUCCUACGGGAGGCAGCAGUAGGGAAUCUUCCGCAAUGGACGAAAGUCUGACGGAGCAACGCCGCGUGAGUGAAGAAAAGGUUUUCGGAUCGUAAAACUCUGUUGUCAGAGAAGAACAAGUUGGAGAGUAACUGCUCCAGCCUUGACGGUAUCUGACCAGAAAGCCACGGCUAACUACGUGCCAGCAGCCGC